rnacentral:rRNA from 1 species
GACGAACGCUGGCGGCGUGCCUAAUACAUGCAAGUCGAACGAAGCUGUUUUAACUGGUGCUUGCACCGACUUAAACAACUGAGUGGCGAACGGGUGAGUAACACGUGGGUAACCUGCCCCAAAGCGGGGGAUAACAUUUGGAAACAGAUGCUAAUACCGCGUAACCACAGAAACCACAUGGUUUCUGUGUCAAAGAUGGUUUCGGCUAUCACUUUGGGAUGGACCCGCGGCGUAUUAGCUGGUUGGUAAGGUAAUGGCUUACCAAGGCAAUGAUACGUAGCCGAACUGAGAGGUUGAUCGGCCACAAUGGGACUGAGACACGGCCCAUACUCCUACGGGAGGCAGCAGUAGGGAAUCUUCCACAAUGGGCGCAAGCCUGAUGGAGCAACACCGCGUGAGUGAAGAAGGGUUUCGGCUCGUAAAACUCUGUUGUUAAAGAAGAACGUAUCUAAGAGUAACUGCUUAGGUAGUGACGGUAUUUAACCAGAAAGCCACGGCUAACUACGUGCCAGCCGCCGCAGUAA